rnacentral:rRNA from 1 species
UCAUAUGCUUGUCUCAAAGAUUAAGCCAUGCAUGUCUAAGUAUAAGCAAUUAUACCGUGAAACUGCGAAUGGCUCAUUAAAUCAGUUAUCGUUUAUUUGAUAGUACCUUACUACUUGGAUAACCGUGGUAAUUCUAGAGCUAAUACAUGCUGAAAACCCCAACUUCGGGAGGGGUGUAUUUAUUAGAUAAAAAACCAACGCCCUUCGGGGCUUCUUGGUGAUUCAUGAUAACUUCACGGAUCGCAUGGCCUUGCGCCGGCGACGGUUCAUUCAAAUUUCUGCCCUAUCAACUUUCGAUGGUAAGGUAUUGGCUUACCAUGGUUUCAACGGGUAACGGGGAAUUAGGGUUCGAUUCCGGAGAGGGAGCCUGAGAAACGGCUACCACAUCCAAGGAAGGCAGCAGGCGCGCAAAUUACCCAAUCCCGACACGGGGAGGUAGUGACAAUAAAUACUGAUACAGGGCUCUUUUGGGUCUUGUAAUUGGAAUGAGUACAAUUUAAACCUCUUAACGAGGAACAAUUGGAGGGCAAGUCUGGUGCCAGCAGCCGCGGUAAUUCCAGCUCCAAUAGCGUAUAUUAAAGUUGUUGCAGUUAAAAAGCUCGUAGUUGAAACUUGGGCCUGGCUGGCAGGUCCGCCUCACCGCGUGUACUUGUCCGGCCGGGCCUUUCCUUCUGGAGAACCUCAUGCCCUUCACUGGGUGUGUUGGGGAACCAGGACUUUUACUUUGAAAAAAUUAGAGUGUUCAAAGCAGGCCUUUGCUCGAAUACGUUAGCAUGGAAUAAUAGAAUAGGACGUGCGGUCCUAUUUUGUUGGUUUCUAGGACCGCCGUAAUGAUUAAUAGGGACAGUCGGGGGCAUCAGUAUUCAAUUGUCAGAGGUGAAAUUCUUGGAUUUAUUGAAGACUAACUACUGCGAAAGCAUUUGCCAAGGAUGUUUUCAUUAAUCAGUGAACGAAAGUUAGGGGAUCGAAGACGAUCAGAUACCGUCGUAGUCUUAACCGUAAACUAUGCCGACUAGGGAUCGGGCGAUGUUCUUUUUCUGACUCGCUCGGCACCUUACGAGAAAUCAAAGUUUU